UACGUAGGGACGAGCGUUGUCCGGAAUCAUUGGGCGUAAAGAGCGUGUAGGCGGCCACUUAAGUCCUGCGUGAAAUCUUGCGGCUACCAACCGCAAGCGGUCGUGGGAAACUGGGUGGCUAGAGUGACGGGAGAGGAGAGUGGAAUUCUGGCGUAGCGGUGGAAUGCGCAGAUAUCAGGAAGAACACCCGUGGCGAAGGCGGCUCUCUGGAACGCAACUGGACGCUGAGACGCGAAAGCGUGGGGAGCAAACAGG
rnacentral:rRNA from 1 species